UGCAAUCACUACUGCAAGUCGCUCUGGAUAAGAGCGUCUGCUAAAUGACUAAAA
rfam:Salmo salar isolate Sally breed double haploid chromosome ssa26, whole genome shotgun sequence.